UACGUAGGGGGCAAGCGUUGUCCGGAAUCAUUGGGCGUAAAGAGCGUGUAGGCGGCCAGAUAAGUCCGCUGUGAAAACUCGAGGCUCAACUUCGAGCUGUCGGUGGAAACUAUUUGGCUAGAGUCCGGAAGAGGAGAGUGGAAUUCCUGGUGUAGCGGUGAAAUGCGCAGAUAUCAGGAAGAACACCAAUGGCGAAAGCAGCUUUCUGGGACGGUACUGACGCUGAGACGCGAAAGCGUGGGGAGCGAACAGG
rnacentral:rRNA from 1 species